GACGUGGGAGGCGAGCGUUAUCCGGAAUGAUUGGGCGUACAGCGCGCGUAGGCGGGCCGGGGAGUCGUGCGUGAAAGGUGGGGGCUCAACCCCCAGAGGCCGCACGAGACCCCCGGUCUUGGGCCCGGCAGGGGGCGGUGGAAUUCCACGAGGAGUGGUGAAAUGCGUUGAGACGUGGAGGAACACCGGUGGCGAAGGCGGCCGCCUGGGCCGUGGCCGACGCUGAGGCGCGAAAGCCAGGGGAGCGAACGGGAUUAGAUACCCCGGUAGUCCUGGCCGUAAACGAUGGACACUAGGUGCGGGGGGUAUCGACCCCCUCCGUGCCGGCGCUAACGCAGCAAGUGUCCCGCCUGGGGAGUACGGCCGCAAGGCUAAA
rnacentral:rRNA from 1 species